AUACACAGUGUGUUUGUCAUGCACUGUAUGGUAUCUGCACCCAGUGGCCUUUUCCCGUUGAGGUGUUCAUUAAACAGUGCAACACUAACUCUGCGACUGGCAUCGUUGGUUUGCAGGCCUUUCGUGUUUGUAAACCUGGUUUUUAUGCAGAAACAGUAGUAGAAUAAUAUGCCUAGACAUUGUUUACAUCUCUUUACCUUUUCUUAGGUGACUUUUUUGCAUGUAAUGGAAGCGCAGGCGGAUGCUUAUUUCUGCAAAGUGAAUCCAACAUAUUGGCGUAAUUUACUGGUAAGCAUAUGAGUGACUAUCUUGUCUAUUGAGGUCUAUCCCGAUGGGUCUUUGAUGUAAGGCCAUAUCGUUGGAAACGCCUCAAAAAUUAAGCUUGCAGAUUAAUGGUACCUGCUAUAAAUGCAUUUAUAGCAGACAUUACUGCAUAACAUUUACAUUAUUAAAAAAAUAAUGUAGCUUACAGUGUGCACUCUCUCAUUCUAGGAAAUGAGGAAUUAAUCCAGAUUUUGAUGGAUGGCUGCUACAGUGAGGUCAGAUGAAAGUGUUAGAAUCUCCUGUAGUGGAUUUUUGGAUCAGGGAUAACCAUUUAUCUGAAGAUGGCACUUUCUACUGUUGGUUAAAGAGAAGCAGAUCAAAGAUGUAAAGGAGGCAAAGAAGUUGAAGUCCAACCUGGAAAAGCAUAUAAGAUGUUCAUACUGAAGACGCUACCUUAACCUGUAUCUCCAGCUACCCUAAAUAAAACUUAAUAAACUAUGUAUCCUAAGGAUCUGUGUAUUUAUUACAUUGCAAGUCAGGGCUUCUACCGUGCAGUGCCCUUAAUCAUGGUUUUGUUUUUAAAUAGUUAUGUA